AUAACAACCCAAGAGUAGAAAAAACCAAGUUGAAAUGAAUGUGAUGUUGUGUCUUUUGAGGACAAGUUUGUUGGGGUUGUAUUUUUCCGACCCGGGAAUAAUAGAAAAUGGAAUGAAUUUGGGAAAAUAAAUUUUACAAAAGAAAAAAACAAGAAAUUAGGGUUUGGAAUUGGUUCAGUGCGUGGAAAAUCUAAUGACGGAAGGCGUUGCGGUACUUUCGGCGUUUUUGGUUCCUUUU
rnacentral:lncRNA from 1 species